GACGUAGGGUGCGAGCGUUGUCCGGAUUUAUUGGGCGUAAAGAGCUCGUAGGCGGCUCGUCGCGUCGACCGUGAAAACCCGCGGCUUAACUGCGGGCUUGCGGUUGAUACGGGCGGGCUAGAGUUCGGUAGGGGAGACUGGAAUUCCAGGUGUAGCGGUGAAAUGCGUAGAUAUCUGGAGGAAUACCGGUGGCGAAGGCGGCGUUCUGGACCAUUACUGACACUGAAUCGCGAAAGCUAGGGGAGCAAACGGG
rnacentral:rRNA from 1 species